rnacentral:rRNA from 1 species
AGUGAACGCUGGCGGUAGGCCUAACACAUGCAAGUCGAACGGCAGCACAGGAGAGCUUGCUCUCUGGGUGGCGAGUGGCGGACGGGUGAGGAAUACAUCGGAAUCUAAUCUGUCGUGGGGGAUAACGUAGGGAAACUUACGCUAAUACCGCAUACGACCUACGGGUGAAAGCAGGGGACCUUCGGGCCUUGUGCGAUUGAAUGAGCCGAUGUCGAAUUAGCUAGUUGGCGGGGUAAAGGCCCAACAAGGCGACGAUCCGUAGCUGGUCCGAGAGGAUGAUCAGCCACACUGGAACUGAGACACGGUCCAGACUCCUACGGGAGGCAGCAGUGGGGAAUAUUGGACAAUGGGCGCAAGCCUGAUCCAGCCAUACCGCGUGGGUGAAGAAGGCCUUCGGGUUGUAAAGCCCUUUUGUUGGGAAAGAAAUCCAGCUGGCUAAUACCCGGUUGGGAUGACGGUACCCAAAGAAUAAGCACCGGCUAACUUCGUGCCAGCCGCCGCAGUAA